GGCCGGGGGAAGACUGGGGUCCUGGUGUCGGAGGAGAGAGGAACUUAUUCAGCCCAGUCUGGAGUGGCAUGCUCUUCUUGGUUCAGCCCAAAGACACAGGCUUCUGAAGCAGCAAGUUUAAAAUUCAUCUGAAGCAACAAAAGGUCAAGAGCCUCAAGAGAAAUAAUGGAAAAAAUGACUGCUAUCCAUGGUGCCGAAACUGCUCCAGCUGGUCUGAGUGCUUUUGCAAGCAGAGGAUACAGAAAAUCCCUUUUGUAUUUGAGGGGAGGUUAAUUGUAACCAGGGGUUUCUGUCUUUCAGUAUAGAGAGGGGGAAAGAUAGGAGAACCCCACCUUCUCAAGGCAGGGUUCAGGGGAGGCAGCAGAUGUUUAGGGUUGGCUCAGAAAGGGGGGAGUUUGAAGAUUUUCCCCCUUCUGCCUUCCUUCCUUAGCUAAGGCUAUUCUCCCAGAUUCUCUGUUGUCCCUCUUGUCCCCCCUACACUACUUGAGACCAAAGGGUCUCACCUGGAUCUGUUCACUCACUCUUAGCUUGGGGAUAACUAUUUUAAUGUCAAUUCAAUCAGGGUAAUACAAAGGAAUAAUUAGCAGGGGAAGAAUGGGAAUGGAAAAUGGGAAAAGGCGGUUCCUUUCUCUAUCUAAAACCCUCUUCCCUCCCUCUUCAAGUUUUGGGGGAACUCAGGCCUUGGCAGUCUAAGCCCCUUGAGAGAAAGUCAGCUUGACUCACCGUGAGUUUGACCCCUUGACCACAGUUCAGACUCAGUGCAACAGGAGCUGAAGUAAAGUCAGUCAGAGAUUUAAAAUGUCUUUUUCAGGCUUGCUCUUCAAUACUCUUUCAAUCGGGAAAACUUUUGGGGGAAAGAUUUCCAGUCACCAGCAGGAAAGCUGAGCCUGUAAUUGCCAGAGAGGCUCUGACUUCUGAUUCAAAUAGACCCAGUUUGAAGAUUCCUCAGAGAACAUUAAGAACAACCUGUUUUGGACUAAGAUUCCUCUCAACAGCAAUUUCACAUCUGGCCUUCAUUUGGAGACUUAUAAUAAAGGGAG
rnacentral:lncRNA from 1 species